AUGACACCGUUAGCCAGCAGUGUGUCUCCUGAAAAGAGAGCUGAUUAGAGAGGCAGUUUUGAAUUUAGGAGUGGCAAGAUGGCAGCGGCAAACCCUGGCGGUUCUCCGGGUUCGUGGCAACCACGGAUGGGGAAAAUGUGGAGGUUGCACGGCUGAUGUUUACUGUUCAUGGCACAGGAAGAGGCAGUUUUAUUUCAGGAAUGAGUGAGCACAAUCAAAGAAUAGAGCGACUGUGGAGAGACCUCUGGGUGGCCAUUACAUGCUUUACUACGAUGUUCUUCACAACCUUGAGGAAGAAGACCUUGACAUUUCAAAUGCUGCACACCUCUUUUGCUGCCAUUACGUCUUUCUUCCUCGACUGGAGGAUGAUUUUAAUACAUUUUGCAGUGGAUGGGACAACCAUCCACUGCGAACAGAAAACAACAUGAGUCCCAACCAGCUGUGGGAGUUGGGUCACAGAUAUCACCCUGUUCCUGUUCCAGAAAACACACAGCUUAUCACACAUUUGAUUUCCAUGUGUGACGACUGCAAGUGUCCAGAGUGAGGACAGACU